rnacentral:rRNA from 1 species
GUGGGGAAUAUUGGACAAUGGGCGAAAGCCUGAUCCAGCAAUGCCGCGUGAGUGAUGAAGGCCUUAGGGUUGUAAAGCUCUUUUACCCGGGAUGAUAAUGACAGUACCGGGAGAAUAAGCUCCGGCUAACUCCGUGCCAGCAGCCGCGGUAAUACGGAGGGAGCUAGCGUUGUUCGGAAUUACUGGGCGUAAAGCGCACGUAGGCGGAUUUGUAAGUUAGAGGUGAAAGCCUGGAGCUUAACUCCAGAACUGCCUUUAAGACUGCAUCGCUGGAAUCCAGGAGAGGUGAGUGGAAUUCCGAGUGUAGAGGUGAAAUUCGUAGAUAUUCGGAAGAACACCAGUGGCGAAGGCGGCUCACUGGACUGGUAUUGACGCUGGGGUGCGAAAGCGUGGGGAGCAAACAGGAUUAGAAACCCGUGUAGUCC